AUGCUGUGCCGUUUGGCAUCAGAGCAGGCGGAGCCCAACUUUGAUCUCCUGUGCAUUAUUCGACAGUGCGUUGAGGCGUUUCUUAUCCUAGCAACGUUUAACUUGAAAACAACGAAGCCACUUCAAGCGCUCUUCGACUCCAACAGCCAAGCAGCCAUGUUUUCAGAUAUUACAAAGCAGCCUCAGUUGCAGAUAUCUCGACAAGGCAUGGAUGUGAAACUGAUAGAAUCUCGUGUGAAAUUCUUGAAGCGCGCAGUUUCCAGUGCUGUUCAAUUAUAGAAAAAACCGUAAAUCAGGUAAUUUUGGCUUUUUUUAUGUAUAUUUUCAAUUUUAAUAUUAAUUAUUUUGACGGUUUUCAAGCUUCUUAUUUGAAUAAGAUUAUCCCUCGGUUAUUUUGUUUCAUGGCGAUAGUUGCAAAAACUAACUGUCCAUAAUCCAAGGCUGAUUAGUUGGCAUUAAAAUUCAUCACUCACAGCCUUAUUGACUUGGCCUAAAGAUUGACUGACUUAUGUCAGCCCCAUAAUAACGUAACUUCUGAAGUUCUCCGUGUCGGUGUAGGGAAUGUCCGUGCGGCACAGAUAAAUCCGCAGGCUUGGGUUCACUGAACCUGUUUCCCUUGCUUCCUUAUGUAAUAAAUGUAACCAGUGUUCUGCCUUUCUUAAGCGCCAUGCACCUAAAAAUCGAGUUUUGACGCCUAAAAAUUUGAGGCGGGGGGGGGGGGGGGGGGCGGCUGGGCCAUCAAGGCGCCCAGAAAAGUUAAUGUACCAUGUCGAUUUUUUCAAACUUCAAGCUCCAACCUCUGUAUCUCGGUGGAAAAUGUGCUUCACCUCCUAUACAGUAGUAUUCUGCAAUAAAAUUGAUUUUGAGCUUUAGAUCUGUUUCCCCUCCAUAAAAAAGCAUUUUUGUGUGCAUUAUUUCUAAUUUCCAUGAUUUCUGAGAUUUUAAAUGUCUUUAAUUUGUUCAUUUCUGCCUAGAAUAAUGAAAUUGAUCUGAACACUGUGGCUACAAUCGAUUGGAUAAGCAAAAUUAUGUCUUUGGUCUCAGACUGGGCCAUUUCACCAGACAUCAUCAGAAUGCAUUAUGUUUGCGAACUCUAUCAUAAUGGGUAUGAUAGGUUAGCAGAAGAGGUAAGUCUUUUAAACUUGGUUUCAAUUUCUUGGGUCAAAAUAUUUUCUGGUUUUCAAUACAAUUUAAUCUUGAACGACUGCAGACGUUUCACUAAAAUUUCAUUUCUAACAGUAGUACAGAUAAUGUGUUUUCAAAAUACAUAGUGUAAUAAUAAAACCAAACAAAAUAUUAAGUUGUUAAGUGAAAGCAGAAAUGAAGGUUCUUGCCAGCCGGUAGCAUGGCUGCAUUGAUUAAUGUAUCGUGCAAGUGAAUACUGUGAUGGCAUAGAAAGAAUAUCCAUUCUUUCUUUUAAAUUUUUGAUUUAUAUGAUACUUGGAUGUUAUUAAGGCAUCUGAAAUUUUUCUUGUUUAUAGUUGAAGGUUGUGCGCAGUAACUCUGAGGCUAGGAAAAAGAUAAAUAACCACCUAAGGUAUUCACUCUUAAAAUGUAUCUCUUCACAAUUGAAUAAUACUGUGGAUAAGAAAAUUUUAAGUGAUUUAAAGAGACGUCUUAGUGAUUCUAAGAAAAGCGUCCUAAAAGUUGAAAAACUGCAUGGAAACUCAUAGCUUUUAUGAUUAUUUUUUGACUUUAAAACUCAUAUUGUGGCUUUUUGUUCGAUUUUUUUCUUGAAAGAUUAUUCCUGCAGUGAGGGAUCAAGAUGAAAUGGGAACGCAGUUGUUAAUCAUAGCCGGACAGCGCAUUAAACAAUUCAUCAUUCAAUCUCAUCAGUUCCGAGAAACUACAUCAAAUCUAAGUCCUGCCGUUACAUCAUGGUUAGCCUCUUUGGUAAGAAUUUAAAUCAUUCUCAAUUGUUUAUGUUUAUUUCGGAAAUUGAAACUGUGAGUCAGUCUUACCCAUCAUUGCCUAAUUUUUAGGUCUCUUAAGUUACAAAAUUUCCUUCUCAUCAAAAGCAUGCAUAUCAUGAUCACCAAAUAAAAUUUUCAAGAUGAAAAAUGCGAUCCCUCCCCUCUUGAGGCUGGAAAUCUGAAAUGAUCAACGUCCAAGUAUGUCAGUUGAGGGGCUUGGAGGACAUGGCGUAUAAGAGCAGUUUUUCAAAAAAUUGAGAUGUUAUUGAUUUCAAGUAAAACUAGUCGUAGUGCAUAUUCUGUGAAAAAUUCGCUCCCAAAUUCCAAUUUUUAAGCAUCAAGAAGUCAGUUUUAAGUUUUUUUUGGCCAUAAGGAUCUAUGUAAUUUCGAAGCUUCAAACAUGUAUUUCUCGAAAUAGCAAAAACUGCACUUAUGCGUCUCCAAGUCCCUUGGCCCAUCUUUAAUCUCUAAAUUCUUUCUGCAAAUACAGUAAAAGCUCGUUAGGAGGAACUACGGUCAAGA
rnacentral:lncRNA from 1 species